AACGAUAUUUUUUAGAAUUACAUUUCGAGUUUUCUUGAAUUGCCUGUAGAGUUUAAAUUUUUGCUGAUUUUUAACAGUUUUGACAAGAAUAACCUAUUAUACAUGGAAACAUUUUUGUUUUAAAUAGUAUUGUUCUCAAUCAAGACAACCAUCCAAGGACGGCAACAAAGUUAAUCCAAGAUGUGGUACGAACUUCUGCCGUUUUUUGGCGUUAUGUUCGCUUCAGGAUAUGUAGCCCACUUUGUUUAUGUUCCACAGAAUUAUAUACAUACAGGUGGAAGGUUAUUCAGAAAGCAUUCAAGGUUCCAGCAGGACAAAAAUAGCUGGGUAAGGGACGAUAACAUUACUGGAUGCAGAUACAAAAUUGCCGGCCUUGACAAGCUGCCCGAACAGCAGUAAUGGGAUAGACUCACCCACCGGAAAACAAAUGAAUUGUGUAGAAUAACAAAGCAUUUCUUUAAUUGUGGACUGGAUUGUUGUUGUUUUUUUACGAAAAAGUUAUUUGAGCAUGAAAACAAUAUGGAGUUAAGGAUGGUAUCUUACACGAUACUUUAUACACAAGAUGCCUUUGUCACUGUUAAAUAUUUUAAGCCUGUUAAUUAAAUUAUCCUACGUCAAAGUCUGGUUAAAAUGUACAGCAAAAACUAUUGAAAAGGAACAGUAAAUUUUGGUUAAAAGGAAAUUAAAAAUCUGGUAUACAGGAACUCUUUGUAUUAUAUAUAUUAACAGUACUUUUUUAAGUAUCACGCUUAGUUUUAUUAUGUUAUGUUAGUAUGCUGAUGUGGAUUUGAUAGUAAAAUAUUGAAAUGAC